UAAGAGCAGGCGCAGUGCAAAGCGGAAGAAGUCCCAUUUCCCCCCAUAGAGAUAAGAACGUUAAGUUGAUAGUUUCUUCUUGGGCUGAAAAAUUAGACUCACGCUCAGGGUUCUUUUAAACUUGUUUCUUUCCUUUGAGGGAAAGUCCAUUUUCUAUACGACUUACUGCUACACUUACAGAGGAGCAACUGCCUUUCACUGCUCCGGACAUCAACGCGUCCGCGCGCAGCUGAAUAGCGCGCAAAGCUUCUGCAUGGCCCGUUGAAUGUUCUCCGGGAAGGGCGGCUCACCUCCUUUCCCUCCAGCCUUCCUGCGCGCGAAUUAUGAAUUGAUGGCCGACUGAAGACUUGCCCAGUACGAUGGCGCCGUCAGCGCGGAGGUGAGUGUGUUAAUUGCGCCACGUUUUCUUGUGUCGGAGGAAGAGGAGAAAGUUUUGAAAAACGAGGAAUAAGAAAGCAGUUGAUUAUUCUCAGUUUGGCAGUGCAGAUGAUGAUGAUGAUGAUUUUGCAGAUGCAGCUAUACCUUCAAGCAAAAAAUCAAAGAGGGUAUGUUCUGGGUCAAUGAAAGAGAAAACGGUACAGCAAAAGAAGCCCUCCAAAGAGGAGAUUCAGUUACAGAAGGCAACACCCAACAAAAGAGUUGCCUUGGAUCACAGACUUUAUCAGAGAGACUUGGAGGUCGCCUUAGCAUUAUCAGUGAAUGAAUCACCAGGAAGCAACCAUGAAGUACAAGAUUCACAGGGACAAGCUGAAGAAUCUGUGAGUGCUUCCAACCUCAGUGAAGAUGAUUGUGGUGAAUUCAUUGUAAAGAAGAAAGCUAUAGAAAAUAGGGGGAAAGGAAGGAAGUUAAAUGCUGGGGCGGAAAAGCAUUCCAAAUCAAAAAAGAAUGCGAUAGCUCCAUUUGGAAGCAGUACCAACCAGCUGAGCAGAGUACCUGUGAAAUCACCCACUCAAGGUCUCAGGCUUGGCCUCUCUAGGUUAGCAAGAGUGAAACCCCUGCACCCAAAUUUUGCAAGUACCCAAGUGCAUGUGAUGGCUUUAGAAGGUUGUAAAUUGAAAUUAAAUACCUGGGGUGAGGUGGAGGAUUUUUUUUAAAAAAGUGGGAAAUCUGUUAUAGGCAAUAUGUUUAUAAUUCUGAAUGGGGAACUAAUGCAUCUUUUUUUUUAAAAAAAAAUCCAUGCUGAAGUGUAAGGUUACAAGCUACUGAGAGCGCUUAAAGUAAUCUCCAAUAAUGUUAAGACCCCUCUUCUAUGCUUGGCAAAUUUAUCCCAGUUUUGUAGUUCUGGCCCCAUGAAAUAAUUUUGAGUUAUGGCCCAGGCAAGAUUCCUUAAAUUCUGUGGUGUCUAUCUAGAGGUUGCAUUUUUAAACAUUAUAAACUCUCAGUGUUGACUUGUGUACCUUGGAUUUAGCUAAAAACAAUCUUGAAGUUAUACCUUGGUAUCUUCAUCCUUUCGAUAAAAAAAAUGUGGUUUUCAGGAAUUUAUACUUUUGCCCUGCCUCAGACUGCCCCGUACUAUUCCCCAGAUAUUUGUAACAACUAUUAUCUGAUGUUGAUAAAAGUAUAUUAUGUAUCAUUGUGACUUUUAAGAACUGAAAUAAAAUAUUUGUAGAAGA